rnacentral:lncRNA from 1 species
GGGAAGACCAUAAAUAAAACAGGAUUAUGAUCAGCUACCAGGAGAUCAUCUAUGAUAAUGUCACUGACUGAUAAACCAAGUGACAGAAUCAAAUCCAGCGUGUGGCCAUAAAUAUGUGUGGGACCAUUUACCAUUUGCUGAAGGCCAACAGAAUCAAUGAGAUUUUAAAAAUCCUUUGCAAAAGAGUUUGUCGGCAAGCAUAUGUGAAUGUAGAAGUCCCCCAGUAUUAAUAUUUUGUCAUAUUUCGCAACAAUGUCUGCUAGAAACAUAGAGAGUUCUGACAAAAAAAAUCUUAUUAAAUCCAGGCGGUCGAUAGACAACGGCACAUAACACAGGGGAUAACAGCUGCAUUUCAAAAACUUUGAGUUAAAAACUUCAAAGCUCAAAUUUGAGUCUAGUGCAAGUAAAAAUAUCUUUAUAAACAGAAGCCACACCACCUCCCCUUCCCGUUUCUCGGGGAGUAUUAAAAACUGUAAAGUUACUAGGCACCGAUUCUCUAAAAGCAGACCUAUCCCCAACGUUCAACCAAGUUUCAGUGAUAAAUAAAAGCUCUAAUGAAGUCGUUUAAAAUGAAGGUCUUGUUUCUCAACGAACUGACGUUUAUCAUCGCCAACCUGAUCGCUGGUCCCUUAUCGUCCACCGAGGCAUUGUAAGACUGCUGCGGGCCAAGCGGUACAGGGCAAAGAUUCUGUAGAGGAACUCCAUUCCAAUGGAGAUGCAAGGUAUGCCGAAGACAGGUCGUCACGGACCCCGCCGGUUCAACUGGCUGAACACCGCGGCAACGCACUCUCCGAGCGCCGAUACAACACCCGGCCGCCACACCAUCCCCAUAGCAGCGCAUCCACUGGACGAGGCAUUCUCGGAAGAGAGACCAGCAGGGCAGAAGAUCCUGACCUGCUGGAGUGUGUUUAUAUUGAAGAUGGUCCGUGUUUUAACAUAUCCCACAAGCCCUGAGUGACCUCUCCUGCUGAACACGGCACGAGAAAAAGCCCAGUCGGACUGCUGCACAUGGACGACAGAAUAGCGAUGGAAACACUCUCUCUCUUCGAUCAGUACAUGUCAUUGAUGAAUUGACAAAAAUGCCUCCGGCGUCUGACAGUGGACAGCUGAUCAAUACUGAGAAUAUGUGACAGACAAAUGGAAAAGUACAGAGCAGCUAAUAACUGUCACACAGGAGAUCUAACUGUAGCGAUCCAGCCCUACAG